UACGUAGGGUGCGAGCGUUAAUCGGAAUUACUGGGCGUAAAGCGUGCGCAGGCGGUUCGUUGUGUCGGUGGUGAAAUCCCCGGGCUUAACCUGGGAAUGGCCAUGGAAACUGGCGAACUGGAGUGCGGCAGAGGGGGGUGGAAUUCCGCGUGUAGCAGUGAAAUGCGUAGAGAUGCGGAGGAACACCGAUGGCGAAGGCAGCCCCCUGGGCCUGCACUGACGCUCAUGCACGAAAGCGUGGGGAGCAAACAGG
rnacentral:rRNA from 1 species